CUCAACUACUUCGGCCAGGCGGCAUUGCUACUCACCGAUCGCGGAGCUCUGGAAAACCCGUUCUACCAGCUCGCCCCCGAUUGGGCGCACUAUCCGCUUGUUGCCUUUGCCACCCUCGCCACGGUGAUUGCAUCUCAGGCAAUCAUUACCGGUGUCUUUUCCCUCACACAGCAGGCCAUUCAACUGGGGUUCCUCCCCCGCAUGCAUAUCCAGCACACGGCGAGUGACGAGAAGGGCCAGAUCUACGUCCCGCUGAUCAA
rnacentral:misc_RNA from 1 species